GACCUAUUUAUGAGACCAGCUACCACUGAUGAAGAAUGUUGGAGUAGUUGCUGAAAUUGACCCUUAUUGACCUGAGACAAUUAUUUGUUCUACGUUUUCUGUUUUGUUUUUUUUUUGUUUUUUUUUUGUUUUUUUGUUUUGUUUUGAUCCCACUGCUUUGAGCUUUACUGUAACGGCUGAAAAACUUGGAAAAUAAAAUAACAUGAUGUGGUCUUGAACCUUUUUCUUUUUUUGAGGAUAUAUUAAAGUGCCAGAGUGAAAAGCCGGAAUGGCAGCCAGAGAGAGGCUCUUUGAACUUUGGAUGCUUUAUUGUACAAAGAGACAGUUUCUCUAGGUAGCCCUGGCUGUACUGGAACUUUGCUCUGUAGAUCAUGCUGACCUUGAACUCUAGAAGAAGGCAUUGGAUUUCCCGGGACUGAAAUUAUGAACAGUUGUGUGCUGGGAAUUGCACCUGGGUCCUCUGGAAGAGCAACCAGUGCUCCAAAUCACUGAGCCUUCUUUUUAGCUGCUGCUUACUCUUAGUCUUAGUCUUAUUCUUCUUUUGAUUUUGACCUUUGAGAGAUAAGUAGCUUUGUUUUGGUUUUGCUUUUUCAUAAUGUGAAUUAUUAUAUAAACUCUUUUAGUUCUUGUCCUUAAAAACUUUUAUUAUGGGAACUUUGAAUAUGCAUGAGCUUGGAUUCAUAAUAAACUUUUAUUUGUCACUUAGUUCAACAAUGAUCAGUGUAUACCCUAGUGUUUCUAUAACUUUCCAGGUUCCCCAUCUCUACUGAAUGUUUU
rnacentral:lncRNA from 1 species